CUCCUGCUUAGCCACAAUUACACAUAAUGUCCCAGAAUGCCAGAAUGCUGAGGUUGAACGGGCCCUUAGAGACCAGCCAACCACAGCUGCCUCUAAUACACACACCCUCACUGUUCAGAUGAGGGCACGGAGGGAGGACGGAGAAGUCACAAGCCAGCCAGCAGCAGAACAGGAGCUGGCUAUAUGCUUUCUACCUCCUCCAAGUUUCCUGAUCAUUCUACCACCCCAAGCUGUCACUCAGCUCAGCCAAGCCCCACUGCCGGCCUGAUGAACAGCAAGCCCCAGGUAGUCCAGUCAGAUUCCAGGGCUCCAACUUCUGUGCCACACAGACUUCACAGGACUGAGCCGGCUCUGGGGAUUGUGUCGGGGAGGGAGAUUCCCCCAGUUAGAGAUAAGCAGAGGCCAGCUCCCAGGAAGAAUGGCAUGAUCUCCACACCCAGGCCUCGGCUGGCAAAGCUGGAGCCCAGAGGAUUUGGGAUUUGGGUUAGUACGGACCCAGAAAACCUGACUUUGAUGACCGGGCCCUUCUUGGUUCACUAAAUCUGUGGAUACGGGUUGGGAGGACACCAAGAGGCAUCUCUGAGGCCAAGAAGGAAUCACUCCCACACCACCAGCCCACUACUGGCAACACACCCCUCCAGCCCCCUUCCUCUGUGACCAGCCUUUCAGCCCUAGAAGCAACCAGCCAGCGUCAUUCUCCUUCACUCAGUCACUCAGCAGAAAUUGUACCGAGUACCCGCUGUCUGCCACACCCUGGGUCCGGCACUGGAGACGCAGAGAUGGGGCGGCCCAGGCCCUGCCCUUAAUGAAGUCACCAUUUAGCAGUGACAUCUCCACUCUAACCUAAUGCGCUGACUAAAAGCUUUUCAAGAACUCAGUGUUGAAUCACUAUCCGACUCCUCUCCAGAAGGAACGCAGAUUCAUUUCCAACAGACCAGGCCUACCCACCCGAAUGGCCUACCCUGGAGAGAAUGAAGAUGCCUUCCAUCAGCAGCUCUGGGCCUGAUGGGAACCCUUUUCCCUCCCGAAAGGCGCGGGUACUUUUCCAAGAACCUGCUACCAGCCAGCAUCGACUUCACGCCGCUGUUGGGGAGGGAGGCAAGGAAGCGAGUUUGCAAGCGGCUGGGAAAAGGCCCCUCUCAAGGAAGGAAGUCAACAGGUAUUCCGUAGGUGCUAAAGGGCUCAAGCAUAGGACCACCAGGCAAGGCUGGUCAUAGCUUUCCAGACACCAGCUGGACUCCAGUCAGCUGGACCCUGGCAGGCACGUAGGCACAUUCCCUAUAGGAGCGCCCAGUCAGCUGCGGCACCAAGACUGGUAUCUCCCUUCCUGGGAGAAGGACCUGGGUUUUUUGUGUUUUUUUAAGUUUAUUUAUUUAUUUUGAGAGGUGGGGGAGGGGCUGUGACAGGGGGAGACAGAAUCCCAAGCAGGUUCCUCGCAGUCAGCGCAGAGCCCAAUGCAGGGCUCGAACUCACAGACUGUGAGAUGGUGACCUGAGCCAAAAUCAAGAGUCGGUCACGUAUCCAACAGAGCCAACCAGGCACCCUGAGAAGACCCUGGUUUUGAGCUCAGCUUCUUUCCCUGGAUCUUAAAAAAUAGGGACGGGGGUGGGACGGCGCCUGGGUGGCUCAGUCAGUUGAGCAUCCGACUUCGACUCAGGUCAUGAUCUCGUGGUUUGUGGGUUCGAGUCCCACGUCGAGCUUUGUGCUGACAGUGCGGAGCCUGCUUGGGAUUCUCUCCCUCUCUCUCCGCCUCUCCUCCACUCAUGCUUUCUCUCCCUCUCUCAAAAUAAAUAAACUUUAAAAAAAGAUAGGGUCAGGGGUGCCUGGGUGGCUCAGUGGGUUAAGCGUCGGAGUUCGGCUCAGGCCAUGAUCUCACGGCUUAUGAGUUCAAGCCCCGCGUCGGGCUCUGUGCUGACAGCUCAGAGCCUGGAGCCUCUUCAGAUUCUGUGUCUUUCUCUCUCUCUCUGCCCCUCCCCUGCUCACACUCUGUCUCUCUCUGUCUCUCAAAAAUAAAUA